GUAAUAUUAAAUCCUAAAGACGUUUGGCUUUCUUUUUCGGUCUUCGUCGGUUUUGUCCACUUGCUCGAUCUGACGCGAUUGGCGACGAGAAGGGCGAGCAAGGAAUCGGGCGGAGAAGGAGGAGGAAGAAGAAGGCUAAGAUGGCGGUGCAGCAGGCGCUUGUAGUCCUCAGUGACUCUGGCCCAUCUUCGGGGGCUACGAUUGCUUCCCCGUCAGUCGCCCCUCACCCAUCCUUUCUUGCUUACACUAGAGCAUCUUUUAGGGCUUUUUUAUUGGUCGAGUUCGGAUCGAGGAGUGUAUGUGUAGGCUAUCUUUCUCAUGAUUAGGGUUUAGUAGAUGAGUAUGUAUUUGGAGUUUGGUUAAGUGAGGCUUAUCAAGUUGGAUUUCUUGUGAAAUUUUGUUGGCGAUAUCAUUGGAGAUGAUGACAUGGGCAUUAGGUUUUCCGAAAUCUGUGGCCUCCUAUUGUUUAUCUCCUUAUGCUUCUUUAUUAAGAUAGCUAUGGGUGAAAGAAAGCUGCGAAUUAGUAUUUAAGGAUUAGCAUGCACACUCUUCUGCUACUGCACAUGGAUGGAAAUCUUAAUGGAUUGUGUAUCUUGUAGAAGGAAUUCAACAUAAACAUAUUGCAGGUCCCAACAGUUACAGAUUUAAGUUCUGGAUUACUGCAUCAAAAUUUGCCCGGGAUAUAAUUUGGAAGCAGUAGUGCUAUCCUCAUUAGGCUUAAAAAUUAGAAUGCUCUUUUGGCUAAGCUUCAGUGCUAUUACCUUUGUGCUUGUUUUCUGUGCUAUUACCAAGUUAAAUCUAUCACAAGUAGUACAAGUAUUAACUUCUCUGACUAGGUGCCCACCAUUCUAAUUGAAAUUUGACUCUCGAAUUUGUUCCCCAUUAUCCCCAAAUGAAAUUGUGAGACUUGCACACUUCAUUUUUUUAGCUACUAUGAUCAUAAGAGUCACUUAGGCAACUUCCCCAACAUGGCCGAGCAAUAUCCAACUCAACUAUUGGUAACUGUUGAGUGUUCCCUGUUGUUCAAGAGUAGGGAGAUGUAUUUGACUUCUAGUAUAAGUAGAACAUAUCAGCUUCAUCCUUGGCUAUCUAAUUUUUUUACUAUUUUAAGUAUAUAUACAUAUAUAUUUAAUUUGUCAUGAUUUUAUAAACCAUCUACAUUAUUAUCAUAUAAAUCACUUGGGUAAUGUAUUUAACAUAUCUCUCCUGGACCUCUGAUUAUGGGUAUCAGAUGGCAUAGUUUCUCAAGAGACAUGCAAAACAAACUUUACUUAGAAAGCUAACUACCUAGAUCGUAGUUUAGAAUUCGAUAUUGGAAAAGUUUAUUUGAACCCACAUAAUUAGCUGCUCCAAGUUAAACAGUAAUCCUUAUAUUUACAUUGAGCUAUUGUGACACUUGAAACAAGUUCUGAUCAUGUAUAUAUACAUAUAUAUGUAGAGGGAGUGUGUGUUGUGUGUGCAGAAUCUUAUUGAGAGUAUCACGACAUCAACCACAUUGUAUCAGAAACAUCAUAUAGACUCCAAAUUGAAGUAGAACUCUGUUAAAUAUAGUCUACAUAUGUGCAUAAUGUUUAAUGAGUCAAAACUUAUAUGAUUUAAACUUUUUUUAUAUAUCAAACUAACACAAAAGCAAAAGGUUUAAGGAACAUUCAUGUAUGGAACUAUGAGCUACACUGAUUUGGUUAAAUAUCAUAAUGAUUCUCUAAUCAAAUCUUGUUAGAUGAGCACAUACCAAAAUCCAAUUUCUUUUGGUACUUGCAUGUUAUUAUUGAUCAAACUGAAAUAUAUUCUGUUAUUUUACAUAUUUUUCUUUAGUUUUUUAUUUGUAUAUUAAUUCAUCUGUUUUUUCAUUCUUACGUAUAAGUUUCUAAAAUCUUAAGGGUAAGUGAAAAUAAGCCUUGCAAUUUUCUAAACCAUAUCAUUGAUGAAUAUGCACUAAAUAUUCUUUGAUAAUCACUUGCAAGGUUGAAAACAUUGUUAACCAUUUUACACCUGGAUGACAAAAUCCAUCUAUAUCUCAAUCCAUCAAAGCAAUGGCUUAAAAUGGUGUAAGGUAGAUGAUGCAAUCAUAUCCUUGUUGAAAUUUGGUUUGUUAUAGUUAACCAAAUAAUUAACAUCAAAUAUGUCAUGGGCUAUGCACAAAUAGAAAAUUUUUGGCAUAAUCAAAUUAACAAAGGGGUCCAUAGCUCAGUGGUAGAGCAAUUGACUGCAGAUCAAUAGGUCACCAGUUUGAACCUGGUUGGGCCCUAUUUAAGUGUGUUAUUAUGUGGCAGUCACUUUUUUUUCAUAGAUCUUUAGCUUUAUAACUCUCGUUCAAUGGUGGUUAGAUUUGUUAAGAUGUUAUCUGUGGCAGUGACAUGAUGCUUGCAGUUUACAUGCAUCGAUGAUCACUCAACCGAAUUUUUUUUGUUCUUUGAUAAUCAUUUGCAUAGUUUUCCAUUCAAUCAUGAUUUGGCCUGUCAAGAUGUUAUUUGCAGCAGCAUUUUUUUAUAUCUGUUAUCUUUUUGUAAAUUUUGGUCUUAUUUGUUAAUAUGUUUUAAGAGGCAAUGCAGCAUGAUACUUUCAGUUUUAUUCAUUUUUCAUCACAAUGAACCACGAUGAUGUUCUUUAUAGUUAUUAGUCAAUAUAUAAGAUACUAUACAGUUACCUUUUACCUUAUGCACUAAAGUACAUAUACUAUUCUCUACAUUACUAGGAUAAUAAAAGCCACUUCCUACUUAUGUUCAACAAAAUAGGAGUAAGAAAGAAUUACUUUGUGUAGUUUUCCGUAAAAAUGAUUUCAAGUGCCUGUCUUGUCUGUACAAGGAUGUUAAACACAGUUGUGAUAAGUAAUGGUGCUAAGCCAACUUUUGGUAACUGAUUGUUUGCUGAUUCAGUAGAUAUAUUGAUUUGGCUGCUGGUGUUGCAAAGAAUUCAGUAAUUAGUCAGUGACUAUGAAUCACUUCAUUCUUUAUUCCGGUCUUUAUGGCUUAAUUUGUUAAUAUGUUAAAUUGCUAAGAGAACAAAAAGGCCUUUUCUGUCUAUGUUACACAAAAAAAAGAGAAAGAAAGGAAUUACUUGUAUAUAUUACCUGAGAUAUGAUUUCAAAAUGCUUCUCUCAUCUGUCCGAGGAUGUCAGACAGUUGUUGCAAUAUGUGAUGGUAUUAAGCCAGCUUCUGGUAAAUGAUGGAUUGGUGAUCCAUGGUCAACAUGGUCUCCACCAUUGCAUAGAUUUCAGAUACCAAAUCAGUAAUUAUGAAUCACAACUUCACAUACCUGUCACUAGUUCUUCAGCAGAAAGAUUUGUUUACCAUUAGUUUGCUGUCAAGAAGGCCACCCAGAGCCAAGAACUCAACUACAAGAGAACCUAAACUGCCGAUUGGUCCUUCUUCAACAGUUAUAAGUUCCUCAUGUGAUAUCUCUAAGCUUCAAUCCAGACUUUGAUCCAAUACUUUGCAGAAUCGUGCCUUGACUGCUGUGAUUUCUAGGCCCUUCAGAUAGUGCUCCUUCAGUACCAAAGCUGCAGCCAAGCAGUUCUGAACUGCUGUUCCAUACUCAAGAAGAGCCUACAGAUCCCUCUCACCCUCGGCAUGAACUGCAGUUCGAGGCCCUGCUCCUACCUUUGCCAACCUGCAAAUGUUAUAACUGAAAGAGAAGAAACAGAUGCAUGUCCUUUAAACUAUCACCUCAAGUGAAACACCCUUGUGGAACAGUUCUGCUUCAUCUGAAGGAACCCUGACAGCGAUAGUUGGCAGGCAUGCCAAGACUGCAAGUGAUCCAGAAUUGAAUCUUGUAACUCGAUUAAAUUGCAUCCUAGUUGCAGGAUCAAGCUUGGUGACACCUGCUAAUGACAAGGUAAGCUCGAAGUUCUUUGAUUUAGAGUACAUCCUUAUUAACAAUGAUUCUUGGCAACCAAACAGUUCCUUGUUUGGUUAUUUGGUCGCUUGGUAAUUGACGGGAAAGGAGGACGCUCGGAUUGCUCGCGUGUGAUUCGCGCCAUGAGCUGACGUGGGCUUCUGGCCCAGCAAUUACCGUUUUUACUCACGAAGCUACCCGCCUUGUAACUGGAAGCGGUGAUGCCCAUAGGUGGGCUCCAGGCGAACUCACGGUCACAUGUUCGAGGGUUUCCCGUUCUUCUUUUUCUUCGGGAAGCUUUACGGCAAUAGUUUCGCCGACCGUGACAAGUCGGUUAUCUUUGGCCGCACUUGGCCGGAAACAUUUCUGUAUCGGGCCCCGCAGGAAACGACGUAUCCACCGUCUGGGGAGAUCACGCCGAUGCCGUCAGCGAGACAAAAGGGGGUCGUGGGAGCUGCUGGAGUAGCCGAAUAGUGUUCCCUGUCUUACUUAAUACAGUUCGAUGCGACGCACUUUGACGACGAGAACGGCGAACAAGGAUCGGGCGGAUGAGGAGGCGACCUAAGAGAAAGAUGUCUGUGCAGUAGGCGCUGGUGGUGCACGGCGUUGUGACGCUGCUGCUGGUGGUGUUGCCCUCUGCAGGCACUGGUCCAUCUUCGGAGAAGAUCCACAACUUCCUCACCUUCGGCGCCUGCGACGACUUCUUGCUGCUCUUCUCAAGGGGUAAUCGAUGGAAGAACGAAUUGCACGAUGCUUAUUGCUUACCUGACUAAAGACUUCUGUCACACAAUCAACACAAUUCACAGCAAUUAUUUACAUAACCUAUCUUAUUUCUCCGUGACAAGCUGCUGAUGUUGAUUCUCAUGCGUCCGUCAGAGCAUAGCAUGGCAUUGCCUCUGCCUGUAAGUGCCUUGGUCAGCUACUGGUCAUCCAUAUCUAGUGAAUAAGCGCAUUUAUUCUAAAUGCCAGAUAAGGACAUGACAGUGAAUGGCAGAUUUUUUGGAUUUUAAAAUCUAAUUAUUUGAAUUGAAUUGAUUGUUCGAA